CACGUAGGGCGCAAGCGUUGUCCGGAAUUAUUGGGCGUAAAGAGCUCGUAGGCGGUCUGUUGCGUCCGCUGUGAAAACUCGGGGCUUAACCCCGAGCCUGCAGUGGAUACGGGCAGACUAGAGGUAGGUAGGGGAGAAUGGAAUUCCCGGUGUAGCGGUGAAAUGCGCAGAUAUCGGGAGGAACACCGGUGGCGAAAGGCG
rnacentral:rRNA from 1 species